rnacentral:rRNA from 1 species
UACGAAGGGGGCUAGCGUUGCUCGGAAUCACUGGGCGUAAAGCGCACGUAGGCGGAUCUUUAAGUCAGAGGUGAAAUCCCAAGGCUCAACCUUGGAACUGCCUUUGAUACUGGGGAUCUCGAGUCCGGAAGAGGUUGGUGGAACUGCGAGUGUAGAGGUGAAAUUCGUAGAUAUUCGCAAGAACACCAGUGGCGAAGGCGGCUCACUGGCCCGAUACUGACGCUGAGGUGCGAAAGCGUGGGGAGCAAACAGG